rnacentral:rRNA from 1 species
UACGUAGGUGGCAAGCGUUGUCCGGAAUUAUUGGGCGUAAAGCGCGCGCAGGCGGCUUUCUAAGUCCAUCUUAAAAGUGCGGGGCUUAACCCCGUGAUGGGAUGGAAACUGGGAAGCUGGAGUAUCGGAGAGGAAAGUGGAAUUCCUAGUGUAGCGGUGAAAUGCGUAGAGAUUAGGAAGAACACCGGUGGCGAAGGCAACUUUCUGGACGACAACUGACGCUGAGGCGCGAAAGCGUGGGGAGCAAACAGG